AUUAAAGUUGAGGUAACUUGAUUCUUCUGAAAUUACUGAAACUGUUCAUCUCAAAUACUCCUUGGCAUUUGCUAAAUACUCUUUCUGCAUCAAUUGGUAGCUGUAAUUUUUUUCUGUUGAUGUUACUGGCUGUGGUAUUUUGACAUUUAAUAAGGUAGUGUGAUAUUAUAAAAUGUAUAACUCAGUGAGCUCCUUAAAAUAUAUACAUUAUGAAAGAAUUCUAAAUGGAGUCACCAAAUAAUGGGGGAGACAGUGCCCCAAAUGGAUGUCUUUCACCACCAAGUGAAAUGUCCAGUGCCAGGAAUAGAUUACAUCUAUUUGAGUCAUUAGCCAAAGGGGACCCAUGGAAACUCCAGACAUCCCAGGCUACUGGUUGUUGGUUGUUCUCCACAAACUGAUGGUCAGGCCCUGUUGCUGAAGGCAACACUUACAUAUCUCAUUGAACACAGGAGAAAUGGAGCUGGUGCCUGACUGAAGCCUUCACCCCUACUGACUAUGAGCUGCUGGGAAGAAGGUAUGUUCUUUUGUGUUUGGUUGUUCUGAAAUAUAUGUUAGGUCCAUUUGAUUUAUGGCAUUAUUUAACUCCAGUAUUUAUCUGUUUAAUUUUUGGCUGUAUGAUGUGUCUAUUGACAACAGUUGGGUAUUGAAGUCAUCUACUAAUUACUGUGAGAUGUGAUUUUAUUGGAAUAGUGUUUCUUUCAUAAACAUGGGUGCCCUUUUGUUUGGAGCAUAGAUGUUAAGAAUUGCAAUAUCAUCUUGGUGGAUUUUUCCUUUGAUUAGUAUGUGAUGUCCUUCCUUAUAUCUUCUGAUUAGUUUUGUUUGAAAUCUAUUUUGUCAGAUAUUAAAAUAGCUAUACCAGCUUGCUUCUUGAAUCCAUUUUCUUGGAAUACCCUUUUCCAUCUAUUUCUCUGAGGUAAUUUCUAUCCUUGAUGGUAAGAUAUGUUUCUUGGAUGAAGCAGAAAGAUGAAUCCUGUUUUCUAGUCCAGUCUGUUAGUUUGUCUUUUUAUUGGGUAACUGUGAUCAUUAAUAUCAAGUGUUAUCAAUAAGCAGUGUUUAUUGAUUCCUGUUGUUUUGUUGGGAAAGUGUGAGUCCCCCUCCCACUUUUGAUUUACUAUUCUUAGAUUAUUUAUUUCUUGUGUCUUUUUGGGUGUGUUUAACCUCUUCAGACUGAAGUUUUCCUUCUGGUGCUUUCUACAGAGUUGGAUUGCUUACCACUGCCACCUUGGAUGGGAAACUUCAGCUGUUUGUGGUUGAGUGACUGCUGACCUGCUGAUAAGAAUACAGGAAGAAACGAGAAAGAAUUCAUGGUUUAGCCAUUGAGGCAGAUGGGACAGUUUUUACAGGAGGCUUGUGUUAGAUUCCCCUUCUGUAGGACUCACCCUCAUCUGAGCUUCCCUCCUCUUAAGAAAACCCUCUUAGAAACAAUGGAAACAAUAGCCCAUCUGUGCUGGUAUUCUUCAAUAAAGAUGAGCCCGUGUCUGUUU